GAAGUUGUGGCCUAGAGGUUAAGGAGAUUGACUGGUGAUCAGAAGGCUGUUAGUUGGAUCCCCAACUCCA